rnacentral:lncRNA from 10 species
AGUUUGUAUCGCUGGCUCUAUUCUCCUGAACAGAAAAUUGAGAUGGAGAGAGGUGAAGUAAUACUGCUAGUAAGUGGCAGAACCCCAAGAUCAAGACCCGGUUUGGCUAUUCCCAAACCUGGAAUCUGCCCCUUCAGCCAUAUUGCUACCUUGUGAGUACAGAAACCUUUCCAUAGAAGCUUUUCACAAAUACCCUUAUUUUCAGCACAGUUAAAGAGACUAUGUUUAGGAGUUGUUCUGGGACUCUGCAUAUUAAGUGCAAUUCAAAUCACCCAUGUUGGGGUAUCAAGAUGGGGCCCCGGCCAAUAUUCUUUCUCACUGCAAUAAGCUCUCACUCUUCUAUGUUGUUUUCUAGACUGGCUGAGAGAAAUGCUUCCUGAAGAGAAGAGGGAAAAUCAAAAGAAAUGCCAAGAGGCUGUUCUUCCAAGUAAACUGCCCAGCCUGACUUUAUGGAUGGGCAAAUUGAGGCCUGGAGAGGAAAAGGGUCUUACUAAAGUUCAUGCAGCAGGUCAGAGUAGACUCCAGGUGCCCUGGCUCCCUGCCUGCCUAUUACAGCAACAUCUCUGUCCUCCACAUGGGCGGGACUGGAGAAAGGAGAGAGUUUUUUGGCUUUGAAGGAUGUAGGGCUCCUGAGAAUACCACAGGUCCAGCUCAAAGUGCUCCUGUCCUUUCACGGUCCCAGAGCCCAGGCCCCUGGCUGUUCUGAGCAGAAGGCGGCCCUGGGAGGGGCCAGGGGGCCAGUGAUCUAGAAGAAAUAGAAGCUGACAGGCAACAGGCCAGCCUUCCUGCCUCCCUGCUGGGGCAGCUGGUUCCUCUCAAGAAAGCCAAAGCUACUGAGAGAGAGAGGCCCUCCGGAACACCACAAGUUACAGCUGAGCAUGCUGAACAGACUCAGAUGAUGACCCACCAGAGGCUGAAGGGAGGAAGGAAUGAAGGGUGAGGAGCCUGACCCAGCCACGGGACACUGGCAGGGCCUUCAUGCAUUUAUUCGACAGAUACUGUGGCCCAGGCACUGUCCCCGGUGCUGGAUACAGCAGUGACUACAGGUAGACAAUGUCCUGCUCUCAUGGAGCUUAUAUCCAAGUGAGAAGAGACAGACAUUCACCAACUAAUGCAAUUCAACUGAGCAAAAAGUAGAGAUGGCAGGAGGAGAGCAUUCCAGGCAGAGGAAACAACCUGGACAAAGGACCUGAGGUGGUAUUUCCAGCAAGCACGAAGAGACUGACGUGGCGGGGUGGGAAGAGCACAGGGGAGAAAGGUGAGACUGGAGAUGGAGGUGGGGGCCCAGCAUGCAGAGCCUUGGAGGCCUCUGUCGGGGUUUCCGUAUCUAUAGGAAGAGCAAUUUGGAAGCCUGUGGUUUGGGACAGGCAUGUGGGGUGGGGAGUAUCUUUGAAGCCCCUAAAGUUGUAUGAAAAGCAUUAAUUUCUGGGGAGAACAUCUCUAGCUUUGAUCAGAUCCUCGGAUGGGUCUGUGAUCCCAAAGGGUAGGGAAGCUUCUUAUAUGAUUCCAUUCACUAAGUGCCCAUGAUGAGCUGGUGGCAGGCAUCCUAGAACCUUCUGUGAGCUAGCCCCUACCCCAUACCUCCAGCUAGUCUCAGCCUUCCCCCCACCUUCAACCUGCACCCCACCCAGACAGAAGCACCUGCAACUCUCUCAGCUACACUCUGCUGCUCCAAGCCUUAUUAAAGAGAAUGUGUGUCAAAUGCUCUGUAAUAGUACCUCUGUUGUCCCGCUGUGCCCCCACUGUCAUCUCCCCACCUGGCUGGCUCCCCCUUGUUCUUCAAAAGUCAGCUAGAUGUUGUGCCCUCUGGGAACCUGCCUUGACCCCACCCAAGCAGGUUGGGUCACCUCCCUUGUGUCCUUCCGCCCUGCUCUUUUCUCAGCCGGCUUCUCUCAACACUGUGUUCAGAUGCCUGCUGCCCCUUCUCUGUCGGGAGCUCUGUGAGAGCUGUGUCUUGUUCAUCCCAGUGUCCCCAGCACUCAGCACCGGGCACCUGGUCACACAUGGUGGGGGG